rnacentral:rRNA from 1 species
UCCGUAGGUGGAUGAUUAAGUCAGAGGUGAAAGUCUGCAGCUCAACUGUAGAAUUGCCUUUGAUACUGGUCAUCUUGAAUUAUUGUGAAGUGGUUAGAAUAUGUAGUGUAGCGGUGAAAUGCAUAGAUAUUACAUAGAAUACCAAUUGCGAAGGCAGAUCACUAACAAUAUAUUGACACUGAUGGACGAAAGCGUGGGGAGCGAACAGGAUUAGAUACCCUGGUAGUCC